ensembl:lncRNA
AGAAGGAGAGAAGGAGAGAAAGGCUGAGAUGCCAAAAUAUUUUGUAACUUCUCCCAGACAGGUGGAUUUCUUUUUUCUGGGAGGGUUUAAAUCAAGGCACUCACCUCCCUGCUGGUGCGAGCACAGAGCAUGUGUGCAUUGAGGAAAGAGCCCAAACAAGAGUUUGGUGCUGCUGCCAGCUGCCACUGCUUCAUAGCAGUCCUACUAUUAGCUGCUGUCUGAGGCCCUGAAGCCAUGUGUUUUAGAACCGUACGACUGAAUGGCAAACUCAAUUUCAUUAACAAAAAAAAAACCACAUGAAGAAUAAAUAUUUACCUUCCAUGAUUCCAGAGAGCUUAAAAAAUUAACCACACUCUGAGUGCCAAGCAAUGGAAGCCAAAAUAUGUUAUUAGCAUUCUGAACUCAUGCAUUUGGAUGUCCUCGUUGUAUUUUAAAGGCCAUUUUGGAACAGUUUGGGUGAUGAUUCUGCUUUGGCUAACACACAGCCAACUACUGCUUGCAGCAGGUGCAGCCAAAGGCAGACUGAGCCCACAGGGCACAAUGAGACAAUAAAGAGAAAGUCAGCUUGUCACCAGUCAUAAAGGUGAAGAAAUACACCAACAAUCAGAGAAGGCUCUUAAUGACCUGCUCUCCUGAUCACAGGAGCCUGUUCUCAGCUGCAGCAUGCCCAGGAAGACAACGGGAAGACAGGAGAGAGGACCGGAGUGCUACACAGAUCAGGUGUGAGAUGCAAAGCUAUGCUUGAGGACUGCAUGGAGACAACGCUUCACGUACACCUCCACUCUGAGGCCCCAGAAUAGGGCAGACCUUGAAUAACACUCCCUCGACACCUGUGUUCCCUGCCCUGGCUGAGCAGCAGCAUCCCAGUGCCAUGGCUGAACACGUGGCACUGCAGCAAACACAGUGGCUGGGUGGCUGGGCCAGGCAGAAGAAGGAAGAGGUGUUCAUUCCUCGCCAUGAAUGGGAAAUUAAACCCAGGGCUCCCCUGCCUGCCACAGGAACCCUGUGAACCACAGUUGGGUAUAUGUCCUAAUAACACCAUAUAAGCAAUAUCAAAUCUUUGAAGCAAUAAAUUCUCCUGGAUCCCUUCGUGAACUACUCUAUCAAGGUUGCCCUUUACCUGGUUAAUCUUAAAUCAGUGCAGUCCCUACACAAGGUUUCUCAUUGCUGCUUUCAACUCACUUGAAAAUAAACCCUCAAUAAGCCCCAGAGACAACCUUGUCCUUACGUGGCAUCCUCAGCCAGAGCCCUCACCCCACCUGUCACUCCAGCCCAAAAUCACACCAGGGCACUGGCCUUGCCACGCAUGGGCUGUGUUGUAUCCUCCGCAAAGGCAGUGUCCCAUGUCACAGGAGGUGGCCUCCAUAAGGAGAGCUGCACUGGCCUUUAAGACAACUAUUUGCCAUCGCUUUUGGGGAGGAGAGCUUUUUGCUGUCCUCUUCGGCACUGCUAUGUGAACUAAGGACAUUAUCCUGGGGAUCAGAAUCUCCAGCUGCAAGAUAUUUUCACGAUGUCCAAGCGAAGAUCUGCAGAAGUGGUAUUUUUAGGUACCCUGGCCACUAAGAAAUGCAUUCUUUUCAUAUUCCUUAUAUAACCCUCAUCUGAAACAGCCAACAGGCUUUGGAGCCUUUUCCGCA